ACUUUCAGUUACAUGAAAGCAACUCAAAGUAAAUGCUGAGUAAAAACAUAAGUCAAUAGAACUCACACUGGGGAUAAAAAUCUGACAAAUAACCUCCAGUGAUCAAACACCUUCCUCAAGAGAAACAAAAAUGUGCAACAGCACAGGAAACUAUAUACUACAGCACUCAGGUUUUACCUUUAUUCCCUGAUCCAGGUAGCUUGGGACAUAAUUCAUGUUCUCUUGGAUGUGAGGAUUGUGACGCAAGUUGAUGAAUGGAGAGGAYGGCUGGGUGAGAGAAGCAGCGUGGAUUCCCUGGCUAGUUGCAGGGCAGUUUUCCAGACUAGUCGUGUGGUUCCUGAACAACACUUACCUCGUAUGUGACAGACCAUUCUAGGAUGGGGAACAUGCCUGGACAAGAAGUAUGUCCCAUCUGAGCUUCUAGAGGGAGGGUAAUGCGGGUUCUGUGGCAUGUUGUGGUUGAACUGAGGUUCAGGCCGUGACUUGAAGCUGAUAUUCAUUGUGUAACCUUUUUUAUUCUCUUGCAGAGUGUUAUUUUGGAGAGCAGGUUGGCCCUCCAGUUCAUCAGGUGGGGCCUAAUGCUGGAAGUGAAAUAAAGACCAUGAAUUGACAUGGACA
rnacentral:lncRNA from 1 species